UGGUGAUACAAAAUGAUUAUUUUGCUGGGCCCAGAAUAAAAUUUGUGACAUCAUUCUCAUCACAUCAACCGAUAGCUCACCUUGAUUAAGUACUAACAUGUCAACAAUGUACUACUUUGCCUUGCUCAAGUAGCUAAACCUCGGUGGAACAUAUGCAGUGGUCAUAGAAAAUUCCCGUUUUGCUGGUCCCAGAACAAAAUUCAUGACAUCAUUCUUCGCAUAUCAACAGAGAGUAAAUUAUGCUGAUAUCCUUAAGUCCUUUAUUUAAUUAUAUUUUGGAUCAUUAAAACACAGCAUUUUCUAAUGGACUUUUUGAAACACCUACGUGUCGUCCAGCACAAGGAGAGUUUGUACGUAGGAAAGCAAGAGUCAUGUGAGUUUAUUUAAUAUGUUUAGCCCUAUAUAAACCCAAAUCUCUUAUUGGCCACACCACCUACAUAACCGGUAUCAAUCACCGCUUUAAUUCAAAGGUUUAGAUUGUAUCUUUCACACAUGAAAGAAUGAUUCAUCUUUUUUUCACGAUGUCAAUUAUUGAAUUAUACAAUAGCCAUUGUGAAACCUAUGCUGAUGGAUUGCAGGAAGAAAUUAGUGAGGGUGCUUCGAGAGUUGUGUUCAAAGAUACAACUCGAAUCUUUAAUUCACAGCCAAGAUAUGGAUUUCACAUGCUUGCAACCGAAAAAUGUACUAAAAGGUUGAGACCAUUGUUUCAAUAUCACAACUAACAACACACACAAAUAUAUAUUUAUAAAAAAAAAGGAAAAAAGAAGUCCACCUUCCCAUCUGUCUCUUUCAGAAAGAGGAGGACCAAACACAAACCCCACUUCAGAUUAAUCUCAACAACAGAAAGCUCCAAACCAAAGAAUCCCCUAAACUUUCACUAGCUACACCUUUCCAUCUCAUUUAACACUUGCAAUAUAAAUAUAUAUAAACAAAUAGAUGAGAGAAGAAUACAGGAUGGUUAAGAAAACGGAACCUAAUCCAAGGGGCCCUUCCUUGCAGUUACCUCUCGAGUUCCAAGUUCCUCAUCCCCUUUCCUAUCUGAACGAAGCUAUCAGACUCCCCAAACUUCUUCUGUGACUCCAGGUCCUCAUCAUCCUCU
rnacentral:lncRNA from 1 species